rnacentral:rRNA from 1 species
UACGUAGGGGGCGAGCGUUGUCCGGAUUUAUUGGGCGUAAAGAGCUCGUAGGCGGCUUGGCAAGUCGGGUGUGAAACCCCCAGGCUUAACCUGGGGACGCCACUCGAAACUGCCAUGGCUAGAGUCCGGUAGGGGAUCACGGAAUUCCUGGUGUAGCGGUGAAAUGCGCAGAUAUCAGGAGGAACACCAGUGGCGAAGGCGGUGAUCUGGGCCGGUACUGACGCUGAGGAGCGAAAGCGUGGGGAGCAAACAGG